CAGCCGCCGCGGGAAUACGUAGGGUGCAAGCGUUAAUCGGAAUUACUGGGCGUAAAGCGUGCGCAGGCGGUUUUGCAAGUCAGAUGUGAAAUCCCCGGGCUCAACCUGGGAACUGCAUUCGAAACUACAAGGCUAGAGUGUGUCAGAGGGGGGUAGAAUUCCACGUGUAGCAGUGAAAUGCGUAGAGAUGUGGAGGAAUACCGAUGGCGAAGGCAGCCCCCUGGGAUAACACUGACGCUCAUGCACGAAAGCGUGGGGAGCAAGCAGGAUUAGAUACCCCGGUAGUCCCUGUCUCUUAUAC
rnacentral:rRNA from 1 species